UAACACAUGCAAGUCGAACGGAAAGGCCCUGCUUUUGUGGGGUGCUCGAGUGGCGAACGGGUGAGUAACACGUGAGUAACCUGCCCUUGACUUUGGGAUAACUUCAGGAAACUGGGGCUAAUACCGGAUAGGAGCUCCUGCUGCAUGGUGGGGGUUGGAAAGUUUCGGCGGUUGGGGAUGGACUCGCGGCUUAUCAGCUUGUUGGUGGGGUAGUGGCUUACCAAGGCUUUGACGGGUAGCCGGCCUGAGAGGGUGACCGGCCACAUUGGGACUGAGAUACGGCCCAGACUCCUACGGGAGGCAGCAGUGGGGAAUAUUGCACAAUGGGCGGAAGCCUGAUGCAGCAACGCCGCGUGCGGGAUGACGGCCUUCGGGUUGUAAACCGCUUUCGCCUGUGACGAAGCGUGAGUGACGGUAAUGGGUAAAGAAGCACCGGCUAACUACGUGCCAGCAGCCGCGGUGAUACGUAGGGUGCGAGCGUUGUCCGGAUUUAUUGGGCGUAAAGGGCUCGUAGGUGGUUGAUCGCGUCGGAAGUGUAAUCUUGGGGCUUAACCCUGAGCGUGCUUUCGAUACGGGUUGACUUGAGGAAGGUAGGGGAGAAUGGAAUUCCUGGUGGAGCGGUGGAAUGCGCAGAUAUCAGGAGGAACACCAGUGGCGAAGGCGGUUCUCUGGGCCUUUCCUGACGCUGAGGAGCGAAAGCGUGGGGAGCGAACAGGCUUAGAUACCCUGGUAGUCCACGCUGUAAACGGUGGGUACUAGGUGUGGGGUCCAUUCCACGGGUUCCGUGCCGUAGCUAACGCUUUAAGUACCCCGCCUGGGGAGUACGGCCGCAAGGCUAAAACUCAAAGGAAUUGACGGGGCCCCGCACAAGCGGCGGAGCAUGCGGAUUAAUUCGAUGCAACGCGUAGAACCUUACCUGGGUUUGACAUGGAUCGGGAGUGCUCAGAGAUGGGUGUGCCUCUUUUGGGGUCGGUUCACAGGUGGUGCAUGGCUGUCGUCAGCUCGUGUCGUGAGAUGUUGGGUUAAGUCCCGCAACGAGCGCAACCCUUGUUCACUGUUGCCAGCACGUUAUGGUGGGGACUCAGUGGAGACCGCCGGGGUCAACUCGGAGGAAGGUGGGGAUGACGUCAAGUCAUCAUGCCCCUUAUGUCCAGGGCUUCACGCAUGCUACAAUGGCUGGUACAGAGAGUGGCGAGCCUGUGAGGGUGAGCGAAUCUCGGAAAGCCGGUCUCAGUUCGGAUUGGGGUCUGCAACUCGACCUCAUGAAGUCGGAGUCGCUAGUAAUCGCAGAUCAGCAACGCUGCGGUGAAUACGUUCCCGGGGCUUGUACACACCGCCCGUCAAGUCAUGAAAGUUGGUAACACCCGAAGCCGGUGGCCUAACCGUUGUGGGGGAGCCGUCGAAGGUGGGACUGGUGAUUAGGACU
rnacentral:rRNA from 1 species